rnacentral:rRNA from 1 species
UACGUAGGCAGCAAGCGUUGUUCGGAGUUACUGGGCGUAAAGAGGGCGUAGGUGGUGCCCUAAGUCUGUUGUGAAAUCUCCCGGCUUAACUGGGAGGGUGCGGUGGAAACUGGGGUGCUUGAGUGUGGGAGAGGUAAGCGGAAUUCCUGGUGUAGCGGUGAAAUGCGUAGAUAUCAGGAGGAACACCGGUGGUGUAGACGGCUUACUGGACCACGACUGACACUGAGGCACGAAAGCGUGGGUAGCAAACAGG